UGUUGUUGUUGUUGUUGUUGUUGUUGUUGUUGUUGUUGUUGUUGUUGUUGUUGUCAACUACCAUGAUUGAUUUCCUCUGCCUUAGGAUUGCAAGUGUCCAGGGUCAGGAGAGGGCGUGAGUGGGAAACCCACUGCCGCAACUUGGCCCUGGUUUGUCCUCAUGGAUGAGGUGUUGGGACAGAGACAUUCCACCUCACCCCCUGUCCUCAUUGCCUCCAUCCCUGAGGACACACCUGGGCCUAGCGAGGCAGUGGGUGACCAGGAGGAGGAGAGAGAAAGAGAGAGAGGGACAAUCAUGAUGAACUGAUGCAAUUAAUCAAAGAGGACAUGCGGUUCCAGAGGGAGGCAGCGGAGAAGAGGGCACAGGAGAGCAAGGCGCAGAUGGAGAGGAUGUUCUCCCUGCUGGAGCGUUUAAUAGAAAAAUGAUGUAAAUAAAAUAUUUGAAUUAAAA